AUUAAAUGAGAGUUUGAUCCUGGCUCAGGACGAACGCUGGCGGCGUGCCUAAUACAUGCAAGUAGAACGCUGAAG
rnacentral:rRNA from 1 species